CCCCCUCCUAUCCUCUUUACUCUGAGAGGCGGGAUCCUCAGGCGUUAUGAAGGAGUUGCCUCUACUAGCAUGCAGCGAAUGUGUCUCUGCGUCGUCCCUCCUGCGCAAAGUCCCCCCACUGGACACUAUCUGAGCCUGCUGGCGUGAGUGUGUGUUUGUGGAGGUGUGUGUGUUUUGUCUAAACUGAAGAGAGAAGAUGGCUGGCGGACGUAGAGGACCGAAGGUCUGCUGAGUCCCGGAGGGACAGGCGUGCCUCUAGAGAAUGCCGCUUCAUCAGAUCUCUGUGGUGCCCGCCGCCAAGGACUCAGCUAGCACUGGCCGCAGCUCCAGCCGCUCCAAAGAGAAGACUAAGGAGGGGGAAAAAGGGCCAGGGCGAUCAGGGAGUCGAUCAAGCAAUAUCUCGAAGGCGAGCGGUACCGCUGCGGGGGCGGUGUUAAACAGUGCGUCACGUACGUUGGUCACUCCCUCUGCUCAGGACAUUUGCAGCACUGGCACUCUGGCCAGGCUUGAGGAGAAUGGUGCAGAGCAGAACACACCCGUCAUGCCCAUAAGCCCCGCCUUGGAGUCGGCCCCCUCGGGGAAGCGGCAGGUGAAGCGGCGUCACCGACGGCGACGCGAGAGCUCGGGCGUGGGCUGCGUCAGCGAAUGCGUCGAGGGCCAAAAGGGCGAGGCCACGGAGAAAGCGCCGGCGGGAGAAGGAGAAGGAGGCGCUCGCAUCGCGCACACACGGACUCGGCCCCGGACGAGGACCCAGCAGCAGCGAUGGAGGGAGUCGCGCUCCUGGUCGCGGGAGAAGGCCCGGCGACGUCGCAGCAGCAGCGGCCGCCAGACGCAGACGCAGACGCGCGUCCGCGCGCAGGAGAGCCGCGGCGCCGGCGAUGCGGUGGAGCUGCUGUCGGUGGGCUCGGACGAGGCCGGCAAGGAAAACCACGCGCCCGAGCCAGCGCUCGCCAAGAGCUCCAAGAAGUCGUCCUCGCUGAAGAGGGAGGAGAGGAGCGGCAAGGCAGCCAUUCAGAGACGAGCCAGCGGGAAAGAGGGGCGGGCCAGUGAAGAGGAGCAGCCAAUCAUGAAGAGCUAUGAGGAGGAAGGAGACGGGGGCGACAACCUGUCAGUUCCUGUUGUCCAAAAACCCAUCAUUGCCACAGAACCCAAUGGGAACAUACAAACUAAAGUACAGACCAAUACAGUCACACCUUGCUCUGAUGAGGAGUUGGAGGUCUGCAGGAUUUGUCACUGUGAGGGAGACGAGGAGUGUCCGCUCAUCACGCCGUGCCACUGCACGGGGAGUCUGCGCUUCGUGCACGAGGGCUGCCUCCACCAGUGGAUCAAGAGCUCCGACACGCGCUGCUGUGAGCUCUGCAACUACCAGUUCAUCAUGGAAACCCACCUCAAGCCUUUGCGCAAGUGGGAGAAGCUGCACAUGUCCACCGGGGAGCGCAGGAAGAUCUUCUGUGCUGUGACCUUUCACGUCAUCGCUGUAGUGUGUGUGGUGUGGUCACUUUAUGUGCUCAUCGAUCGCACCACAGAGGAGAUGAAGAUGGGCAAAAACCCUGCGGUGGUGCGUCUCUCUCCUUUCAAUGCCUCAGGCAUGCUGGAGUGGCCCUUCUGGACCAAGCUGGUCGUGGUGGCCCUUGGCUUCACGGGCGGCCUCAUCUUCAUGUACAUCCAAUGCAAAGUCUACCUGCAGCUCUGGAGGCGCCUCAAGGCCUUUAACCGCAUCAUCUUCGUCAAGAACUGCCCGGACACGGUCAGGAGCACCGAUGAGACCAAAGCGUCCGGCACCACCCAGACCAACGGGAGGCACGAGCCAGUCGAGGUGUGCCCUCCGCCUUCCCUGGCCCCCACUACCGCUCCCAUCCAUGCGGGCAGUGCAGGCGUGGCUCCUGUGUGAUGGACGGUUCGAUAAGCCAAUCACGGCGGUGACAUAUCUGAACCCUCCGUAUGACUGAUGGCUCAAAUGGGACUGAUGAAGCUAUGUCUCAGAUGACUGUGGAACAGACUGGAGAGAUGAUCUGCUUUAAACCAUCUACUCUUCAGAGAUCCUGUAAUCAUAACAUUUAAUCAGUAUCUUAAUAUCUUGCCUCAUCUUUGGCCUGCUUUUUUCCCUCAAUUGUGGCUAAAAGUUUUUUUACAAAUAUUAAUGCAACUUCCAUUUUACUUUACAUUUUUAAUUGUCACUGUUUAAUUGUCACCUGCAAAACAAGACAAAAAGAAUCAAAGCAAUCAUAGUUUUUCAAUGUAUCAACUACAAUGCUGCAACAAACAUGAAUUGGGGCCGAGAAACGAGACAAAUUAGAUCAUGUUUGGCAGUAAAUUGUGUACUGCCCAGUCCACCCAAAUGAGGGGUUCAAGUAAAACAUGCAACAUUGGUGAAAUAAAAUGGUCAGAGUACAGAAA